rnacentral:rRNA from 1 species
UUGUAAGUGUGUUAGGGCGCAUGGUGGAUGCCUUGGCAUCGGGAGCCGAUGAAGGACGUGGGAGGCUGCGAUAUGCCUCGGGGAGUUGUCAACCGAGCAUUGAUCCGAGGAUGUCCGAAUGGGGAAACCCGGCACGAGUGAUGUCGUGUCACCACACGCUGAAUGUAUAGGCGUGUGGGGGGAACGCGGGGAAGUGAAACAUCUCAGUACCCGUAGGAGAAGAAAACAAGUGUGAUUCCGUGAGUAGUGGCGAGCGAAAGCGGAGGAUGGCUAAACCGCGCGCAUGUGAUACCGGGUAGGGGUUGUGUGUGUGGUGUUGUGGGAGUGUCGUGUCUGGGUCUACCUGCCUGGAGGGCAGUGAGAAAGUGUUGUGGUUAGCGGAAGUGGCCUGGGAUGGUCUGCCGUAGACGGUGAGAGCCCGGUACGUGAAAACCCGAUACCUGUCUUGCGAUAUUUUUCCCGAGUAGCAGCGGGCCCGUGGAAUCUGCUGUGAAUCUGCCGGGACCACCCGGUAAGCCUGAAUACUUCCCGAUGACCGAUAGCGGAUGAGUACCGUGAGGGAAUGGUGAAAAGUACCCCGGGAGGGGAGUGAAAGAGUACCUGAAACCGUGUGCCUACAAUCCGUCAGAGCCCUCUCUUUGAGUGGGGUGAUGGCGUGCCUUUUGAAGAAUGAGCCUGCGAGUCACCGGCACGUCGCGAGGUUAACCCGGGUGGGGUAGCCGUAGCGAAAGCGAGUCUGAAUAGGGCGUAUCCCCGUUGGGGGUGUAGUGGCGUGUUGUGGACCCGAAGCGGAGUGAUCUACCCAUGGCCAGGGUGAAGCGCGGGUAAGACCGCGUGGAGGCCCGAACCCACUUAGGUUGAAGACUGAGGGGAUGAGUUGUGGGUAGGGGUGAAAGGCCAAUCAAACUCCGUGAUAGCUGGUUCUCCCCGAAAUGCAUUUAGGUGCAGCGUUGCAUGUUUCACGCCGGAGGUAGAGCUACUGGAUGGCCGAUGGGCCCUACUAGGUUACUGACGUCAGCCAAACUCCGAAUGCCGGUGUGUGAAGUGUGGCAGUGAGACGGCGGGGGAUAAGCUCCGUGCGUCGAGAGGGAAACAGCCCAGAUCGCCGGCUAAGGCCCCUAAGCGUGUGCUAAGUGGAAAAGGAUGUGCAGUCGCGAAGACAACCAGGAGGUUGGCUUAGAAGCAGCCACCCUUGAAAGAGUGCGUAAUAGCUCACUGGUCAAGUGAUUGUGCGCCGAUAAUGUAGCGGGGCUCAAGCACACCGCCGAAGCCGCGGCAAUCCCCGUGUGGGGUUGGGUAGGGGAGCGUCCCCUCACCGGUGAAGCCACCUAGUGAUGGUGUGGUGGAGGUGUGGGGAGUGAGAAUGCAGGCAUGAGUAGCGAUAAGGCAAGUGAGAACCUUGCCCGCCGAAAGACCAAGGGUUCCUGGGCCAGGCCAGUCCGCCCAGGGUGAGUCGGGACCUAAGGCGAGGCCGACAGGCGUAGUCGAUGGACAACGGGUUGAUAUUCCCGUACCCGUGUGUGCGCGUCCCUGAUGAAUCAGUGGUACUAACCACCCAAAACCUCUCCGAUCGGAUCCUUCGGGUGAUGACGGUGGGGGGCUGCGUGGGACCUUCGCUGGUAGUAGUCAAGCGAUGGGGUGACGCAGGAAGGUAGCCGUACCAGUCAGUGGUAAUACUGGGGCAAGCCCGUAGGACGAGAUCUAGGCAAAUCCGGGUCUCAUAU